rnacentral:hammerhead_ribozyme from 1 species
AGUCGAAACCGGCUACAAAGCCGGUCUGCAGGAAGUGGCCUCCCUGUACUGAUGAGACAGGCCGAA